rnacentral:rRNA from 1 species
CCUACGUGAGGCAGCAGUGAGGAAUAUUGGUCAAUGGGCGAGAGCCUGAACCAGCCAAGUCGCGUGAAGGAUGACGGCCCUACGGGUUGUAAACUUCUUUUGUCAGGGAGCAAUUGGGUCCACGCGUGGGCUUAGCGAGAGUACCUGAAGAAAAAGCAUCGGCUAACUCCGUGCCAGAAGCGGCGGUAAUAAGGAGGAUGCGAGCGUUAUCCGGAGUUAUUGGGUUUAAUGGGUGGGUAGGCGGAAGAUCAAGUCAGCGGUAAAAAUUCGGGGCUAAACCCCGUCGUGCCGUUGAAACUGAUGUUCUUGAGUGGGCGAGAAGUAUGCGGAAUGCGUGGUGUAGCGGUGAAAUGCAUAGAUAUCACGCAGAACUCCGAUUGCGAAGGCAGCAUACCGGCGCCCAACUGACGCUGAAGCACGAAAGCGUGGGUAUCGAACAGGAUUAGAUACCCGAGUAGUC